UCAGGUAAGUGAGGUAGCAACAAGUGCAGCUGGGACACAUUUGACACAGUUUGGCCGAGCGUAACAAACCGCGUUUAUCAAAUGGAACUCGAUUCGGUUUCGGUUUCGCUCUGGCUCUUGACGGUUGACGUGUCCAAAAAAAAAAAUGGAGUAACCACCUGCCAACGGCCAAACAACCCACCGGACCAGCCCCCACCCACCCACUGACCCGAGCGAGUGAGCCAACCAAGCGACCAAUCAGCAUUUCCGCUCUAAUGAAAUCUGUGCAAGAUGAACGCCAUCAGGAGAGUUCUAUGAUAUAUCUACAUGGCUGGGUGUGCGAUAAGCCGGCAGCAAAGUAGGACUUAGUCGCCCAA